ensembl:misc_RNA Metazoa_SRP Metazoan signal recognition particle RNA
GCCGGGUGUGGUGACACGUGCCUGUAGUCCCAGCUACUCCGGAGGCUGAGGCUUGAGGAUCGCUUGAGUCCAGGAGUUCUGGGCUGUAGUGCGCUAUGCCAAUCGAGUGUCCACACUAAGUUCGGCAUCAAUAUGGUGACCUCCUGGGAGCGGGGCACCGUCAGGUUGCCAAAGGAGGGGUGAGCCGGCCCAGGUUGGAAAUGCAGCAGGUCAAAACUCCCAUGCUGAUCAGUCAUGGGAUUGUGCCUGUGAAUAGCCACUGCACUCCAGCCUGGGCAACAUGGUGAGACCCCGUCUCUU